UGGGGAAUAUUGGACAAUGGGCGAAAGCCUGAUCCAGCCAUGCCGCGUGUGUGAAGAAGGUCUUCGGAUUGUAAAGCACUUUAAGUUGGGAGGAAGGGCAUUAACCUAAUACGUUAGUGUUUUGACGUUACCGACAGAAUAAGCACCGGCUAACUCUGUGCCAGCAGCCGCGGUAAUACAGAGGGUGCAAGCGUUAAUCGGAAUUACUGGGCGUAAAGCGCGCGUAGGUGGUCUGUUAAGUUGGAUGUGAAAUCCCCGGGCUCAACCUGGGAACUGCAUUCAAAACUGACUGACUAGAGUAUGGUAGAGGGUGGUGGAAUUUCCUGUGUAGCGGUGAAAUGCGUAGAUAUAGGAAGGAACACCAGCGGCGAAGGCGACCACCUGGACUAAUACUGACACUGAGGUGCGAAAGCGUGGGGAGCAAACA
rnacentral:rRNA from 1 species